AUACUUACCUAGCAGGGGGAUACCGUGAUCAAGGUUGUUUUCCCAAAGUAAGGCUUAUCCAUUGCACUCCAGAUGUGAGUUCCCCAAAUGUGGGAAAUUUGACUACAUAAUUGUGGUAGUGGGGACUACAUAAAUGUGCUGUUCCCCC
rnacentral:snRNA from 1 species